rnacentral:lncRNA from 1 species
UGCAAAACAGCGAAAAUUCCUAAAACUGAAUUAAUAGCAGACUGAAGUCUCUGCUUGGGAGAAAAUUAUCCACAGGAAUAAGGAAUGACCUGAGCCCUAGGACCAUGCCUCAGGACUACCUGGCUUGAUGACUCCUUGCUGUCCCCAGUCCACCUGGCCGUGCUGCUGCUCCAGUUCCAACUGUUCUGCCUGCGGCUAUGGAACCCUGACCUGUUCACCGGACGUGCUACCUGUCCCAGAUCUGCUGUCCCAGACCUGCUGGAACCCUGACCUGUUCACCGGACGUGCUACCUGUCCCAGACCUGCUGUUUUCAACUCUCUAGAGACAGCAAGAGCGAAUCCUGCUGGAACAUGGAAGGUUGCAAAUUGUUUCUCCGUAUUCUGAAUUCUGAGGAAACGUAAGGAGAAGAACAGCUUUCUAAAUCAAACGGGACACAUUUUGCCCAACGUGUUUGGGUCAUCUAAAGUAAGCAACAACAAAAACA